GAUGAACGCUAGCGGCAGGCCUAAUACAUGCAAGUCGAACGGAUAUAUGUUUUUCGGAAUAUAUAUUAGUGGCGCACGGGUGAGUAACACGUACAUAACUUGCCCUCAAGCGGGGGAUAGCCUUGGGAAACUGAGAGUAAUACCCCAUAGAAUUAUUGGACGGCAUCGUUUGAUAAUUAAAACUACGGUGCUUGGGGAUAGAUGUGCGUCUGAUUAGCUAGUUGGUGAGGUAACUGCUCACCAAGGCGACGAUCAGUAGGGGGCGUGAGAGCGUGGCCCCCCACACGGGUACUGAGACACGGACCCGACUCCUACGGGAGGCAGCAGUAAGGAAUAUUGGUCGAAUGGAGGGAACUCUGAACCAGCCAUGCCGCGUGAAGGAAUGACGGCCCGUCCUGGGUUGGUAAACUUACUUUU
rnacentral:rRNA from 1 species